rnacentral:lncRNA from 1 species
ACUUGAGAAGUUGGUGUUCGAACUCAGACCCUCUUGGUUGUUUACUUUGCUUAGCUUUUUGUGUUAAUUCAAUCCAACCUAAAUGCAUUUAUUUAGGUUCAGAAAGCAACUCAAUGACAUUUCAACAAAACCUGAAGAAAAUCUUUGACACAGUAGCCAGGAAGAGCCAGCUCAGGAGCUUCUUGACUUCCAGAUCUUCUUGUGACAUGAUUGUGACCACCAGAGAAGAAAAGAUAUAAAGGGUUACUAAAGCUUCUACAAAGAUGAACAUGCUGGAAUAACUACAGUUCCUCUCGCUGCCCAUGUAAGUCUCCGUUUUUUGUGUGACUUUUCACCUGUCUAACUCU